rnacentral:lncRNA from 1 species
UUUGGCAAGAGAGGUGGGGAGAGAGAGAGAUCAGAGAAAGAGAAAGAAGGGUGGAUAAAGUCAAAAUAAGGAGAGAAAAAGAGAGAAAAAGGAGGAGACAAGAUCGAAAAAAAAAUAGGGAAGAAAAAUUAUAAGAAUUUUGUUAUUUUGAUAGAGAGAAAAAACUAUAAAGAUUUUGAGAAGAUUUUGUGAAAUCCUAUGUUCACGCCCUAAAUUAUAGCGGAAGCUCGAAUUACGUCAACAGACCCGCCGCAUGCACAAGGAUAUACUUUAUACAUAUGAAGCAUUAACAAAACCUAUUCAAAGAAGUUACUAAAGUCCAACAACAAUAGGUAUCAGAGUAGAAUAAAACUAUGUAUUAUAACAACACUGUAGAUAUACAAUCAUCAGUACAUCAAUCCUCAAAAUUGUAAAACAUCUCUGACCACGCCAAACCUCAUAACACUGUAUAGGUUGCUAUAUACACUGAUAGGUUGUCCAACUACACACAUCAAAAAGAGUAGAAGAUGCUAAUUAUCCGU